GACGAACGCUGGCGGCGCGCCUAACACAUGCAAGUCGAACGAGCGAGAGAGAGCUUGCUUUCUCGAGCGAGUGGCGAACGGGUGAGUAACGCGUGAGGAACCUGCCUCAAAGAGGGGGACAACAGUUGGAAACGACUGCUAAUACCGCAUAAGCCCACGACCCGGCAUCGGGUUGAGGGAAAAGGAGCGAUCCGCUUUGAGAUGGCCUCGCGUCCGAUUAGCUAGUUGGUGAGGUAACGGCCCACCAAGGCGACGAUCGGUAGCCGGACUGAGAGGUUGAACGGCCACAUUGGGACUGAGACACGGCCCAGG
rnacentral:rRNA from 1 species